AUAACAUAAUAAUAAAGGAGCAAUAGACCUACCAGAUUGUCAUGGCUCCGAGGGCACUAACAGCAACAACCUGGUUGAGCAGGCACUGACCAAGACAGGCUGCCAGGGUAGAGGAACCCUUGAAACUAGUCACAGGUAAUGCAAUCUAUGGGAGAAGCAUGAGUGGAGCAACAUGAUAAGCUUACAUGCCCAUUAAGAUGAAGCGUAUUUAACAUCGGAGAAAUACUAAGAGGAUUGAGUAGGAGUUGUGAAGAACAAUGCUCAACCACUUUCUCUAUAGUUUGUAUGUAUGUGUUAAUUUGUAUAAAUAAAAUAAUUAAGUUAC